rnacentral:rRNA from 1 species
UACGAAGGGGGCAAGCGUUGUCCGGAAUCAUUGGGCGUAAAGCGCGUGUAGGCGGCCCGAUAAGUCCGCUGUGAAAGUCCAGGGCUCAACCCUGGGAUGCCGGUGGAUACUGUCGGGCUCGAGUCCGGAAGAGGCGAGUGGAAUUCCUGGUGUAGCGGUGAAAUGCGCAGAUAUCAGGAGGAACACCGGUGGCGAAGGCGGGUCUCUGGGCCGAUACUGACGCUGAGAAGCGAAAGCAUGGGGAGCGAACAGG